ACUCUUAGUCUUGUAGAUAAAUUCUUGCCUGUUGGAGAUUGAGAUCACAAAACGAACAAGCAUAUCUUUGUUUGAUUCACGUCCAAAGAAGAGGAAUCUGACGAAAAUGGAGUCGUUUGAUAAUAACUCCAAGUUAUCAAAGCCUCCUCUUGACGAAAAAGAUGGAGAAACCGAAACAUCUCGACUCCUUUCUCAGUCUGCAUCGGAACUUGCCAAGUCUAUCGAUGAUACCUCGGUCAAUAAAAUCAACGGAAGCAAUGAAAACCUUGCAAGCAAUGGCCAGCCACCCUCCGAUUCCUCCACUCCAUUGUACUCCAUCGAGAAUUCGACUCCGGUCCAUUCCCUUCCCAACUCCCGUUUGUCGUCUCUCCCGAAUUCUCCUUCCCGGGUCAACCAAUCUUUAUCCCAAUCUCCGACUCCGACAACCUCAGAGUUUGAGGACGCUAAGAGUGAGGUUUUCUCCGACUGCAGUAAAGAAGUGGCGACAGUGAGCUCCCAAGUUCCAGAAAAUAUGUUGAAACAUCGUAGAUUUUCCAAGACUAAAGCUGAAACCCAUUCACGCAGCCAUUCCCGCCGGGUGUCUGAUUUCUCCGAUCUUGACUUGCCCCCCCUGGAACCCCUUUUCGGGCCUCAUCUCUACUACCACCCUGAAGAGGGAGGCACCCCUGACGAAAACGACCUGUUCCCCUCCACGCCCCUGGACGAAGACCAACUCCCCCACGCUGACCGUAAGCUGAAGGAACAGCUGGGGAACGUAGUUAUCAAUACUAUUCAUGAAGAGGAAUUGCCGGAAGAAAUCGGUUGGUUGGAUCCAAGAUGGUUAGAUCCUCGGCCUCUCAUGUACAAUGCAGCAGAGCAAGCAGAAGAGUUUGCUAUCAAUGUUUGGCACAAAUUCCAAUCGUGGAAUGUUGUAGGAUUUUAUAAUCUGCCCCAGUGGCUCCAAGACAAUGAUUUCCUGAGAAAGGGGCACAGGCCCCCUCUUCCUAGCUUCAGAGAAUGCUUCAAGUCAAUAUUUCGCAUUCACACUGAAACCGGAAAUAUUUGGACUCAUCUUCUUGGUGUAGUAGCUUUCUUUGGCCUCGCAUUGUACUUCAUGAUGAGGCCGUCCACGGAAAUAGAGGUUCAAGAGAAAUUUGUAUUUAUGAGCUUUUUUGCCGGAGCAAUUGUAUGCAUGGGUCUAUCCUUUACAUACCAUACGGUCUGCUGCCAUCAAAACAAGUUUAUCGGAAAACUCUUUGCCAAGUUUGAUUAUUGUGGGAUUGCAUUUCUGACUGUUGGUAGCUUUGUGCCCUGGCUAUACUACAGUUUCUACUGUAGUUACACUCCCAAAGUAGUUUACUGCUGUAUUGUAGUCCUGCUCGGACUGCUAGCGGUCAUUGUGAGUCUGUGGGACAAGUUUGGGACACCUAGAUACCGUCCGUUUAGAGCCGGGGUCUUCAUCACAUUCGGGCUCUCUGGGAUAGCCCCCGCGACACACUACUCGAUCAUCAACGGGUGGGAGAAAUCUAUCAACGAGGCGGCGCUUGGCUGGUUAAUUCUAAUGGGUGCUCUCUACAUAUCCGGAGCCCUUCUGUACGCAUUUAGAAUCCCUGAACGGUUUUUCCCGGGAAAAGUAGACAUCUUAUUCCACUCACACCAGCUUUUCCACUGCUUUGUUAUCGCGGGAGCGUUUGUGCACUAUCAUGGCAUUUCGAACAUGGCCCUCUACAGAUUACAGAUUGGAGAGUGCCCCCACCCAGCUGUAGAUUUUUCGGAGUAUAACUCCUUCUAGUCUGUGACCAAACGUUGCUGCGGAGUGAAAAGUGAUAUUCCUUGGGUUGGUUAAAUCAUUAAAGGGACUUCCCUUUAAUGCCGAUAAAUUAGAUAAACAAGAUUCAUGAUUUUUGUUCGCUAAUUGCAUCAAAACAAAAUCUAUCAAACUUUCUACAGAGGUAUAUACGACAAGCCUCAGAUUAUUCAGUAAAUAAAAACAUUACAAGAAAUGAUUUACAGAAUAAAUUUUGCAUUUUUCACAAACAGCAUAGAAUUCAAACUGAAAGCUGGGAAGAUUUAAUCGGAGGAAAUUAGUAAAUCGUAAAAAUUAAACUUCAAACUACUUUUAAAAGAUCUGGUAAGUUUUACUCAUUAGGACUUGAAACUGAUUCUUUCUGUUUAAAAGUUUCAAGCUUAGGGGUAUUGAAUGAUAGCUUGAUGAAAUAGUUUUACUAUAUAUAUUUUAUAUUUUACAGAAGUGUAUAUUUUUCUCCAAUAUAUGGCAUUCGGUUUACUUUUUGCCAAGAAUAUUUUUUGUGAGAGAGGGGGGGGGGGCAUAAAUUUAUUAAUUUAUGUUGUUCAUUUCUAGAUUUUGAAAAGGUUUGUGGUUAAAAUAUACACUUUAAAUCUGUGAAAAUGUUGAAAGUUGAUUUUACAUAAGCCCAAAUAAUUUUCAUUUUCAAAUCUUUUCUGAAAUAUUACUGCAUAUACACUAAAAAAUUUUCAUUUAACACUUAAAAAAUUUAAACAUGUGUGAUGUUAAAAAGUGUCUAUUUAGUGCAUUUAAGAAAUGUCACGUUCCCUCCUAAAUUCAGUAUUAAAUGAGCAUUAUUGUUGUCAGAAAAAAAACUGCGAGGCAUGUUGUUGAAAAAAAUUCUAAAUAUUUGUCAUUUAAAAUCUUGCCAGGUUAUAGAUUCAAAUUUAACGAUUUAACCCUGAGAUGUGUUAUUGUGCGCCCACCCUUUAAAUAUAAUUGGCUAUAUUCGUAGAAUGUCAUUUUAUUAAAUAUAUUGGUGUGUAUUGUCAUUCCCCUCCUCAAAUAAUAACUAGCCCAGUAUGUUAAAUGUUAUUGUUUUGUUACAAUCAGAAAGAAAAUUAUGGGAAUAAUUUAUAUAAAUAAUUUUUAAAAAAAGUUUAUGGAAUCUAUUUGUACGAAACUGUUCCUUAAAGGGACUGUAAGCUUAAUUUCAAGUAAUCCUCCAUGCAAAGAUGGGAAUCCCAAUUUUUAGAGCUUUGUCUGAUAGUGUUUGAAUUAAAUAUACAUUUUUUUCUUUCUUUUAACUGUUGUAUGUUCAUUUGUGGGUUCCUUGGAAUAAGUGACUUGCGCUUUUUUUUGCUUACACGAUUUUCCGUGUUGGGAAAACGAUGUUAUCUUCAACAUUUGUGGUCGGAUUAAGGUUUCAAGGGUACCGUUGUAAAUCAGACAAUGCCAACUUUGCAUAGAGGGGCAUUUAAGAUUAG